UACGGAGGGGGCAAGCGUUGUUCGGAAUUACUGGGCGUAAAGGGCUUGUAGGCGGCCAACUAAGUCCGACGUGAAAUCCCCAGGCUUAACCUGGGAACUGCGUCGGAUACUGGAUGGCUUGAAUUCGGGAGAGGGAUGCAGAAUUCCAGGUGUAGCGGUGAAAUGCGCAGAUAUCAGGAGGAACACCGGUGGCGAAGGCGGUUCUCUGGGCCGAUACUGACGCUGAGGAGCGAAAGCGUGGGGAGCGAACAGG
rnacentral:rRNA from 1 species